rnacentral:rRNA from 1 species
GACGAACCGUCCGAACGUUAUUCGGAAUUACUGGGCUUAAAGGGUGCGUAGGCGGCGGAGAAAGUAGGGUGUGAAAUCCCUCGGCUUAACCGAGGAACUGCGCUCUAAACUACUUUGCUCGAGGGAGAUAGAGGUAAGCGGAACUUAGGGUGGAGCGGUGAAAUGCGUUGAUAUCCUAAGGAACACCGGUGGCGAAAGCGGCUUACUGGAUCUCUUCUGACGCUGAGGCACGAAAGCUAGGGUAGCGAACGGG